AGUUCACGGCAAAUUCGACCCCAUAGCAUUUACGGUCUAUCAAGGCACGGCUUCAUACUCGGCAGCGACAACGAUACCAUUUGCUGACACAAUUACCGUGCACAACCCGGCUACAAAUAUUAGCAAAGGGAUUUUUACGUGUAAGAGAGAUGGCACGUAUAAGUUCCAUGCAUUUGCGUACAGCCAGUCGGGAGAGCGUUUCUUCUUGGAGAUGUAUCUCAACAACACACUCCUAGCUUCACUUUAUGGACACAUGAAUAGCGAAUAUGUAGAUGCUGGUAACACUGUGAUUGUACAAUUAAAUGUGGGAGACACCGUUUAUGUUAAAACCAAGGGAACAUGUACGGUUUCGCUGUACACCUAUUAGAAAGAAAAUACAUUCACUGGAGUGGAACUUGGAUCUCAAUUUCUUUAUUCCGAAGAACACGGUGCAAUAGCAUUCUCAGCUACAUCCAGUCACAACCAGAAUGUCUUGGAAAACACGACUGUGAAAUACCAUACCAAACUAGUCGAUGAUGGCGACUCGUUGAAUCUUUCUUCUGGCGUAUUCACCGCACAGUCAAGUGGAUACUACAUGUUUCAUUUGUUCAGCACUUCGAGACAACACGAAGAACUUUGGUUAGAUCUGAGACAGAACGGCGCAUAUGUUUGCUCAAUUUACGGAUUCACCGAGUUUGACUGGGCAAGCGCCGGUAACUCGGUUAUCCUCCAUUUGUCCAGUGGUGACAACGUUGGUUUCUACUCUAGACCCGGUCAUGAAAGUCAUCUGUUCGGUUCUGCUGACCAUGUGUUUACAACGUUUUCUGGAGCACAACUAGUAUCGGAUUUCGAUUAAACAAACCCAGACACAGAACUCGUGGUGAUUUUCUCAGUAGGACUAAGUAAGAACGCGUCUGUGGCGGCCGGAAAAGUUGUCGUAUUUGACAAAGUUUUCGUCGAUUCGAAAAGAGCAUAUAAUCCAACUUCUGGAGUGUUUGUUGUUCCGGUCACAGGCUUGUAUGAAUUUCACUACCAUUGUCUUGGCGCUGCAAACACUUACGUGCAACUUACAUUGAUGAAACAAUCAAGCACUAUAAAUGGACUUUACGGGCAUAACACAGCACACGCCUCAUCUGCAGGCAAUGCAGCGAUUCUGGAAUUGGUGGGAGGACAAACCGUUUCAGUGAUGGCAAUAUCAGCCAGCUACCUCAUUGGCGCAGGAGACGAAGUUUACUGCACGUUUUCUGGGUUCAUGCUAUAUUCUACAGGGCCAAGUAUUUUUAUUGGCUAGCAGUUAUACUGUGCUCUAUAGAAAUAGUAAAUAAACGGUGAAGGUUA